rnacentral:lncRNA from 1 species
AAACAAAUGAAGGAAAGUCAUGAAACCUUGGAUUCCUUCGAAUAGAACGUAGAAUAAUACCUGAAAGCUAAUCCUGAAUACCUCAAUUACCUUAAAAUGAGCUCAGCUAUGUGAAGGGUUAAAAAAAAUUUAAAAUUUUUUUCCAAAUAGCAGUGGUACUUAUUGUAUGUAAACUUUCAUACAUUUAUAAAUCUACAUAAAAUAAACAUCUUCUCAAAUAAAAAAACAUGACAGCUGCUAGAAAUGAGAGCGAAUCAUACUUUACUACUAUUAACUGCGAUUUUUUUAAAAUUAGUUAAAUGCUUAAAUAAGUGGGCUGAAUGUAUAUCAUUAACUCAUAUUCAUCAAAUUGGGAGGAAUCAGGUUUCAGUUCAAACCAUUGAGAGGGGCUUGUUCGUAAUAUCAACAACCUGGUCGAUGCCUGGGUAAGGAGGAAGGGAAAGGUUGAACUUUUUAGUAAUUACUUUACUAACAAAACGGCCUCCUAAAUAAUGUUUUCCCUUAUAAAACUUGCUGCAUGGUUUUGGAGCAGUUAGGGAGAUCAAGGUAUCAGGAUCAAAAUCCUUUAAAGGUCCCUCCUUUUGGGGACCUUCGUCAAUCUCUAAACAAAUAAAUUUCGUUAAAAAAUAUUCCAUUAGGUAAACACUUUACAAAGCCAUAUGUCUAAUUUCAACUGUAAACUUACCCCAUGAAGAAGGAGCAUCAACUGAAAGAACUUUGAUUUUCGAUUCAACAAUUGCAGCCAAAAUAGAUCCAAAUGGAUCUCGAACAGGACCCUUAAAACUAAACCCAAAAAUGGAGUCGACUACUAAUUUGGAAUCGCGAAGUAAUUGACUGAAAUGGUUGGAAUCAUGAGAUUUGACCACCGGAAUAUCCAAGUCAUCCAAUUGCUUACACAGACGUUUGUACAAUUCCGGGGAAGAUGGUUUUGGAUAGUAAACUGUAGGUUUGUAGCCAUAUUGCCAAAGAUGUCGUGCAGCUACUAAACCGUCUCCCCCAUUAUUACCAGGGCCACAACAAAUCAAAACCUGGGAAUACUGCGAUGGAGGAUACUCACGAUAAACGGCUUGAGAAACGGAAAGACCAGCAAGUUCCAUUAACCUAAAUUUGUUACUACUACAUCUUUGCAGCCCAAACUUACUGAUCAAUGGAGAAGGCACCUGCGGACAUCAAUUCUGCAUCCAAAGCCUUGGCAGCGGAGGCGCUGAGACACUACAGAUGUUAGCUAAUUACCGUAAAUACAUGGGCAAGGAUGUCAAGGAAUUGACGAUGUAAAUUUUAGAAGUGCGUCUAUAAUAGAGCCGAUGUAAUACUUGCUUACCGAAAUACUCAUUUUCUGAUAUUUUUAAAUGCUUGUGCUAAGUUUACUAAUUUAUGGAACCAACAAGGGUUGUUGGUAAAAAUCAAAUUUUGAAUAAUCUGACAGUGCCGGUACACACGAUAUAUGAAGUCAAUUCUACCUUCCUCAAUAUGAUUUCAUAAUUCUCAUGUAAUACAAGUUUUGCUAAUAAAUUAAUUGAAUUCAUACAUCUAUCAAUAAGUAAGCAAAAAC